rnacentral:rRNA from 1 species
GUCUACGGCCAUACCACCCUGAACGUGCCCGAUCUCGUCUGAUCUCGGAAGCUAAGCAGGGUCGGGCCUGGUUAGUACUUGGAUGAGAAAGCACCAGGGUGCCUUGGUGGCUCAGAUG